rnacentral:rRNA from 1 species
AGUUAGUGGCGGACGGGUGAGUAACGCGUGGAAAACCUGCCGUAUACUGGGGGAUAACACUUAAAAAUAGGUGCUAAUACCGCAUAAGCGCACAGCUUCGCAUGAAGCGGUGUGAAAAACUCUGGUGGUAUACGAUGGUUCCGCGUCUGAUUAGCUAGUUGGUGGGGUAAUGGCCUACCAAGGCAACGAUCAGUAGCCGGCCUGAGAGGGUGAACGGCCACAUUGGGACUGAGACACGGCCCAAACUCCUACGGAAGGCAGCAG